rnacentral:rRNA from 1 species
UGCAGUCGAACGAUGAUCCCAGCUUGCUGGGGGAUUAGUGGCGAACGGGUGAGUAACACGUGAGUAACCUGCCCUUGACUCUGGGAUAAGCCUGGGAAACUGGGUCUAAUACCGGAUAUGACUCCUCAUCGCAUGGUGGGGGGUGGAAAGCUUUUGUGGUUUUGGAUGGACUCGCGGCCUAUCAGCUUGUUGGUGGGGUAAUGGCCUACCAAGGCGACGACGGGUAGCCGGCCUGAGAGGGUGACCGGCCACACUGGGACUGAGACACGGCCCAGACUCCUACGGGAGGCAGCAGUGGGGAAUAUUGCACAAUGGGCGCAAGCCUGAUGCAGCGACGCCGCGUGAGGGAUGACGGCCUUCGGGUUGUAAACCUCUUUCAGUAGGGAAGAAGCGUAAGUGACGGUACCUGCAGAAGAAGCGCCGGCUAACUACGUGCCAGCAGCCGCGGUAAUACGUAGGGCGCAAGCGUUAUCCGGAAUUAUUGGGCGUAAAGAGCUCGUAGGCGGUUUGUCGCGUCUGCUGUGAAAGACCGGGGCUCAACUCCGGUUCUGCAGUGGGUACGGGCAGACUAGAGUGCAGUAGGGGAGACUGGAAUUCCUGGUGUAGCGGUGAAAUGCGCAGAUAUCAGGAGGAACACCGAUGGCGAAGGCAGGUCUCUGGGCUGUAACUGACGCUGAGGAGCGAAAGCAUGGGGAGCGAACAGGAUUAGAUACCCUGGUAGUCCAUGCCGUAAACGUUGGGCACUAGGUGUGGGGGACAUUCCACGUUUUCCGCGCCGUAGCUAACGCAUUAAGUGCCCCGCCUGGGGAGUACGGCCGCAAGGCUAAAACUCAAAGGAAUUGACGGGGGCCCGCACAAGCGGCGGAGCAUGCGGAUUAAUUCGAUGCAACGCGAAGAACCUUACCAAGGCUUGAC